GUUUCUAUAGUUAAGAGUUUAUUAACGCCAGCUUUUCAGGCUGGAAACCUUGGUUAGAGGCCAAGUAGGAACU
rnacentral:tRNA from 1 species